AUCAUCCGAAGAUCUUGUUAAAAUGCAGGUUCAGAUUCAAUAUGUUCUGAUUGGGCCCAAGACUCUGCAUUUCUAAUAAGCUUUCAGGUGAUGCUGA
rnacentral:pre_miRNA from 1 species